rnacentral:sRNA from 1 species
AAAACUUUCUCAGAGAGAUGAUAACCAACUAAAAAGAAAAGUGGGAGAAAAUGAAAUCAUUGCAAAGAAAUUAAAAAUAGAACAAAUGCAAAAGAUAGAAGAGAAUAGGGACUGCCAGCUGGAAAAACAAAUAAAAGAAGAAACUCUGGAGCAAAGAGAUUUUACCACUAAAAGCGAAAAGUUUCAAGAAGAAGAAUUUCAGAAUGACAUAGAGAAAGCAAUUGAUACUCAUAAUCAGAAUGACUUGACUUUCAGAGUAUCUUGUCGCUGCAGUGGAACUAUUGGAAAGGCCUUCACUGCACAGGUAUGCUUGCAUCCUAAAGAGUCUGUCGCCCAGGCUGGAAUGCAGUGGCACAAUCUGGCUCACUGCAACCUCCACCUCCCAGGUUCAGGUGAUUCUCUUGCCUCAGCCUCCUGAGUAGCUGGGAUCACAGGUGUGCGUCACCACACCCAGCUAAUUUUUGUAUUUUUAGUAGAGACAGGGUUUCACCAUAUUGGUCAGGCUGGUCUGGAAUUCCUGACCUCAAGUGAUCCAACCACCUCGGCCUCCCAAAGUGCUGGGAUUACAGGCGGGAGCCACCGUGCCUGGCCUGGGGGUCCCAUUUUUUAAAGAAUUAAUUAUUCUUUAGAUUUAAAAUGAGAUGCAAACCUCUCACAGAACAAAUAACUAGCCCCAGACAAUUAGUUCUUAUGGAAUUAAAUGUCUUUAAAACUACAUUUUCCUUUUAAUUUUUCCUCAGAUGUUUAAGAGGAAUGGUAUGCCAUUCCAAGUAAUGACUUUCUUAUACUUUCUGCCUAAAAAUUUCCUUAAAUCUACAGAUGUCCUUUGUAUUUGGAAAUCCUGAUACCAUAGUCCUCAGCUUUUGGGGUUUCUCUUCAGUUCAGCUUUGUGCUUAUUCAGUGGCUACUCUGCACAGGUCCUGUACAUGGGAUUGUCACCAGGACCUAGAUUGCAAAUGCACGUGAGGUCUCAGCAAUGUAGAGAAGAGCGAACACCACAAACUGUUGUCAUCACCAGACCUCAUCAGUUGGCCCUUACAAAGUUCAGUGAUGUUAAAGGCCAUUGGUCUGAAUACUUUAUCAACCUUAAAAUCAGUCAAACCCUAAAGGGUGAGUCUAAUGAUACUAAUCUGAUAAUUUUUAAACGCAUAGGCUUAUAGUAGCUGACAUAGUUAAUCUUUCGGCUUGCAUCUAUUUCCUGAAACCCAGAAUGAUCAUAUUUAUCAGGUCAUAAUCUAGUUAUUUCAUAUACCUAAAAUUACAAGAAUAGAGAUUAUGCAUGAGUAGACAUUAAUGCCAUGGGGUGUACUGGGGGCUAGGGCAGGUAAAAUACAGCCUUACUGCCUUGAAUAGAAAAUGCUUUCAUGUACAAUUUUAAUAUCAGAACUCUAAAUUACCAUCAGAUAGCCUGACUUGAUUUUCUUAUAGGCUACUCUGUUAGUUUUGCUGACAUUUAAAGUUAAAAUUUUCAUUUUUAGUAUUCUUUUCUUUAACUUGCUACUUUUCCAGGAGGUAGGAAAAGUAAUUGGAAUUGCUAUUAUGAAACACUUUGGAUGGAAAGCAGACUUGAGGAAUCCACAAUUAGAGAUCUUUAUACAUCUAAAUGACAUUUACUCUGUGGUGGGGAUUCCUGUGUUCAGGGUUUCCCUAGCCAGCAGAGCUUACAUCAAGACAGCUGGACUGCGAUCUACAAUAGCGUGGGCAAUGGCAUCUCUGGCUGACAUUAAGGUACCAUAUGGCUCUGACUGAAACCUGGCUGUGCACUGAGGACUCUGCUUCCUCUGUAGACAUAUCAAGUGGUGGAUGUCUUUUCUCCCCUAUCUCGAGCACCACUGGGCCUGACAGUGGGGCUGGUGCAUUUGUUUUAGAUCCAAUGUGUGGACUUGGAACAAUACUUUUGGAAGCUGCUAAAGAAUGGCCAGAUGUGUAUUAUGUAGGUGCUGAUGUCAGCGACUCACAGUUACUAGGUACUUGGGACAAUCUGAAAGCUGCAGGCCUUGAGGAUAAAAUUGAAUUACUUAAAAUCUCUGUUAUAGAAUUGCCAUUGCCUUCAGAAAGUGUUGAUAUUAUUAUUUCUGACAUUCCAUUUGGGAAAAAGUUUAAGUUAGGAAAAGACAUCAAAAGCAUUCUACAAGAAAUGGAAAGAGUGCUUCAUGUUGGCGGAACCAUUGUAUUGUUGCUUAGUGAAGAUCACCACAGGCGCCUUACAGAUUGUAAAGAGAGCAGCAUCCCUUUCAAUUCCAAGGACAGUCACACACAUGAACCUGGAAUUAAAAAGUGCUUGAAUCCUGAAGAAAAAACCGGUGCAUUCAAGACAGCGUCAACUUCAUUCGAAGCCAGUAACCACAAAUUCUUAGACAGAAUGUCACCAUUUGGCUCCUUGGUACCAGUGGAAUGCUACAAAGUUAGCCUUGGAAAGACAGAUGCGUUCAUAUGUAAAUAUAAGAAGUCGCACUCUUCUGGACUGUAGCAGGCUUGCUGCCAUCAGCCGGGUUCAGGCCCUUGUAAGUUAGCUGUACAGCAGAAGUUUGCUAUCUCUAGGAUUCAUAUAGCACCCACAGAGCUCCAAGUAACCAAAUUCCCCCAAAGACAGGAGGUGUGGCUGAUGGGUACACAUGCUUGGUAAGAGUUUCUGCUUUAUAUUCUAAAGUACUUAAUGUUUUUGACAAAAAAGUUACCGAAUAUUUUUUAGACUUAAGUUUUAUCUUCUGUCAGAAUGUGAAAAGUUCUGCCCAGUUUCUGAGCAAAAACUUCAAUUUCAAAAUAAAGGUUUUCAGGGGUUCACUUAAGUGUAUCACAAUCAACACCAGACGGGAUAUUUUAACUAUCAGAUUUUCGGAAAUGUAAAAACCUUUAUAUGUAACUUCUUCUGAUAUUAAACUUGAUUUUUGAGCCUGUAAUUUUCUUCUCCAUUGGAAUGAAAAUAAUUUAUAUUUGCAAUACAUUUUAUAUGUUUAUUAUGUAAACCAACAGUGAGAAUAAUAACUGAAUUAAGCCAGUAUCCUUCAAAACAUGAUGGAAAAUGAAAUUUCCUUUUUUUCUAAAAGCAUUCAUACACUGUCACCUCGCCCUUAUUUAUAUAGAAAGUCAGUUUGUUUCUUAUGUUCACUAUCUGAGAAAAAGAAACAGUAAGUUGAGGAGAAU